GCAUAUCAAUAAGCGGAGGAAAAGAAACCAACCGGGAUUGCCUUAGUAACGGCGAGUGAAGCGGCAAAAGCUCAAAUUUGAAAUCUGGCGUCUUCGACGUCCGAGUUGUAAUUUGAAGAAGGCGACUUUGUAGCUGGUCCUUGUCUAUGUUCCUUGGAACAGGACGUCAUAGAGGGUGAGAAUCCCGUGUGGCGAGGAUCCCAGUUAUUUGUAAAGUGCUUUCGACGAGUCGAGUUGUUUGGGAACGCAGCUCUAAGUGGGUGGUAAAUUCCAUCUAAAGCUAAAUAUUGGCGAGAGACCGAUAGCGAACAAGUACAGUGAUGGAAAGAUGAAAAGAACUUUGAAAAGAGAGUGAAAAAGUACGUGAAAUUGUUGAAAGGGAAGGGCAUUUGAUCAGACAUGGCGUUUGCUUCGGCUUUCGCUGGGCCAGCAUCAGUUUUAGCGGUUGGAUAAAUCCUCGGGAAUGUGGCUCUGCUUCGGUAGAGUGUUAUAGCCCGUGGGAAUACAGCCAGCUGGGACUGAGGAUUGCGACUUUUGUCAAGGAUGCUGGCGUAAUGGUUAAAUGCCGCCCGUCUUGAAACACGGACC
rnacentral:rRNA from 1 species